GAUUUAGAAUUAUUUAACAGUAUUUAGAUAGAGUAUCCAUAGUUAUUAGUACUUUGUAUGUAAAGCUAAAUGUUCAGCAAAUACAAAUUAUAAUUUUGUUUCAGGCGAUGAAGUAGAAUUAAAUGAAGAGCUAGGAAGUUUACAAGGAUAUGAAGUAGAGACAAAUAUGCCUGUGAAUGAGCCAAGCACUUCACACAGUUAUAGAAUAGAAUAUGAAGUAGAAGAAAAUAUGCCUGGGAAUGAACCAAGCACUUCACACAGUUAUAGAAUAGGUAAUAAUUAUUGGGAUUUCUUUUUUAUAAAAUAGGAUCAAAUAAGGAGGAAAUAUGGUACAACUAUGUUGUAGAUAGUAGCAUGAGUGGGCUGGCUCAAAAGGUUAUUAAACCAUCUCUUUAAAUUGGCAACUUGUUGUGUUUCUUUCAGUUAGAUUUCCAGUAGAAGUAAUCUCCUCUCCCCAAAUCACUAUUUCCCCUCUUUAGGGUUGGCAAUGCACCAAAAAUUCUUGUGGUACCAUGGUUAUAUAUGGGUGGUGGUUAUCAUUCAUCAUGGGGUGACCCUACCUGGUUGUUUGCCAGUUUCUACUGUAAAAAAAAUGCUUUCAUUAAUUAUGUAUCACUCUU